CAGGCGCCCCCCACCUGGUGAUACCAUAACACCAUAUUUCCUGGACUAAUUGGUGCACGCACUUGUGCAUGUAAAGCUAAGAGGAUGUUGUGCUUUCAACACAAUUCAGCCAGCACUGUUGAGGGUGAAGAUGGAAAGGGCUGGGGUGGACUGUGACCUGGCUGCAUGGAUCACCGACUAUCUCACUAACAGGCCGCAGUAGACUACGUACUCUGUGAGACUACGUGACUGUGAGUCGGAUGUGGUAAUCUGCAGCACCGGGGCCCCACAAGCACAUCGUUCACCAUGAGGUCUUGAGGUCGCCCGCCAAAAUCUACGCCUUUAGUCACCAGAGCCUCCUUAAUCGCCUCCACUCCAUUAAGGAUCACCGCCGGCCGCGACCCGAUAAACACACUGAAAACCUUCCCAUACUGAUCUGACAGCUGUAUCAUGCACAAAAAAUAAAUACAAUGUGUUAUAAUUA